rnacentral:rRNA from 1 species
UAGGGAAUCUUCGGCAAUGGGGGGAACCCUGACCGAGCAACGCCGCGUGAGUGAAGAAGGUUUUCGGAUCGUAAAGCUCUGCUGUUAAGGAAGAACGAGUGUGAGAAUGAAAAGUUCAUACUGUGACGGUACUUAACCAGAAAGGGACGGCUAACUACGUGCCAGCAGCCGCGGUAAUACGUAGGUCCCGAGCGUUGUCCGGAUUUAUUGGGCGUAAAGCGAGCGCAGGCGGUUAGAUAAGUCUGAAGUUAAAGGCAGUGGCUCAACCAUUGUAGGCUUUGGAAACUGUUUAACUUGAGUGCAGAAGGGGAGAGUGGAAUUCCAUGUGUAGCGGUGAAAUGCGUAGAUAUAUGGAGGAACACCGGUGGCGAAAGCGGCUCUCUGGUCUGUAACUGACGCUGAGGCUCGAAAGCGUGGGGAGCGAACAGGAUUAGAUACCCUGGUAGUCCACGCCGUAAACGAUGAGUGCUAGGUGUUAGGUCCUUUCCGGGACUUAGUGCCGCAGCUAACGCAUUAAGCACUCCGCCUGGGGAGUACGACCGCAAGGUUG